rnacentral:lncRNA from 1 species
GUCUCCGACCAUUAUCCUCUGCUCUCAGUAGAACAGUGUAUUUAACGGCUUCAUUAAUGCCAGAGUGAAAAUUAUCUACUGCUGGAGUGACUGUCGUGUGGGGAAUUUUUACACCAGAACUGGAGCAGCAUUCUGAUCCUUCAGUACUUGGGAGCAACGUUUGUAAAGAUGUCGGUGUGGAGUCGUACAGUGCAUCCUCUCACCUGUUUAUCCCUCCCCGGGAUGUCUGAAUUCCUCCCGCGCAGGAGAGCGGAACUGGGGGUAAUAGUUUCCUGCAGAUACAGACGGACAAUAAAUUCGUACGCCCCCAAGAGUCUGGAAGAAACAGAGGAGGAGCAGUGACUCAUUCCUGAGUCAUAGAAGCCUCCCCGGAUUUAUCCUGGGAUGAUGUACUGCAUGCACCACUCCUUGAUCUGCUCUGUCUCGAAAGGACGACCGAGCCCUCGACGGCCCCGAAUAUAAUUGUGGAAAAAUAAAUGUUAGCUGGCAGCGAGCAUUCCUUGGCAGCAGCAGAGGUUGUGAUGUUUUAUGAGAUGUAUCAGUUUCUUCUAAAGGUUAUUCCCACUGAGAGUAUUUUCCCUGUUUCACAUCAUUUGAUGCCUGAGGCUGCAUGGAUCUCCCACCCGCUCCCCGUGGGUGCACUCGGGGACCUGCCCUUCUUCUCAGCACCGAUCCCUGACAGCAAGGGAGGAUGGAGCUUCCAAACCUCUGGCACAAACAAAACAUGUCCAGUAAUCAAAGCCAUCUGGCUUUAUACGACUCCUUUUGAAUUGGGUGGAAACCACCACUUGAGAAUCCCAAUUGUGCCAGAAGAUUUCCCUUUCUCCCGUAAGGGAUUUGUACCAGUCCUGGGGGGACACAAGAGGACAGGAGGAGAGUAUUCUGUGAUGGGGGUUCCAAUUAAUUACAGCAACCCCAGACCCUUGUGUGGCACAGCAUAUGGGAAUCAUAAAGCUACUUUAAAGUCAUGGCCCCUGAAGCACAAGAAUAGAGGGGCUGAAAAUCUAGAGUUUAGACUGACAAAAUCUGUUCCGAGGUGGGAGCAGCUCUAA